rnacentral:lncRNA from 15 species
UAGUGCCUUUCUGAAACCUCUCACAGGACGUGUGAGGAGAGUAAAAUGUGAACUUGCUUGCGGACUUAUUUCUUUUUUUAUUUUUAGUAUUUCACCGGAGGGGAGUUCUCCAAAAAAGCUGGACUGUUGGCGUUUGUGCAACUACUCUCUUCGCUCCCUUUUUUUCCUCCAAGAGCCCGGGCCCUUAAUGAAGCUGGGGGUCAGCGACAGUGUGCGGCUAAUUGGCCAAGUUUGCCCGGGGCUCUGGCUGCCUGUGAUUGAAGUGUCCAGUGAGGGCCCACUGUGCAGCCGCCUCUGCACCCUGCUCUGUUCAACUCCUACAGCCAAGACGCUCACUGCACCCCUGUCUGCCUCUCCCUACCCCUCUACCUGUCAGACAGCCUGAACGCUUUGGUCGUAGCAGGGACACCACGAGGGAAUGGAGGGAGGCUGGCAGUUUGAGUGGCAGCACCGCUGAUCAUCUCUACGAUUUCAAACUUAAUUAACCUGGGCGUCGCGCCACACGUCUUCUGGCCCGUCAACGGUGAGUGCCGGUUCACUAUCUCCUCUGAGAUCUGCGGUGAUGACGGGAGGACAAAGAUGAGAAAAGGGGCGAGACGAGACAGAUGGGAACUUGUACCAUCAGCAUCACAUAACUUAACCUGCUUUUAAGGGAUAAUUUCUGUUAGUCACGACUUGAGUCUUAUUUUCAUGACAACACUGUACUCACCACAGUAACUGCUGAGAUCUUGGAAGAUGGUGACGUCACAAAAAGUGAAAAGCAAGCAGUCAGAAGAUCAGAGAAAUUGUAAAAGGUUACCAAAAGAACUUUAUUUUGGGUAAAAUUGAAAGGGGGCACACCUGAAGUGUAAUAAUCCUUCAUUGCACAGAAAAACUGUAGGAAACAACCAUGGUAGGUCAAAGCUGAACCAGGCAGUCAGUCUAUAAAACUGUGAUGGGUUUUUACGCAGACAUACACACACUUACCGUCACCUUUUCUUUCUUUUUCAAAUACGUUUGACAGUUUGAACCUUUCUGAUUCUCUGACAGUUUGAGCUUCUUUCCUUGUUUUGUCUGACCUUCCGAAAUCCAAACAAAUUCAGUUUACUAUCAUAGAAAACUAGCAAAUAUUCAUAUUUUAGAGUUUGGAAGCAAUUUCUGUUCAUUGACUAAACUAAACUAAUCAUUUGGACUCUUUUAAAGAGUUAACCUGGUGAGUACUAUUAUUACUGACAGGAAUAAGACUUAAGUUGUAAUAAAGUAUAAUUAUCCUUUAAAGGUCAACUGAUGCCGCAGGUCGCCUUCUAUAGAGUCGGCCAUUUUGAACCGCUAUUUUUCUAAGGUAGCCCAGAGGGACAAACCAAACACUGGCUCUAGAUUUCGGGUUUCUCGUAAACGGUUGGAAGGCAAGCAUUAUUUAGUAUUUAGUUGCAAUCUGCAACUUCUACUACUACUACUACUACUACUACUACUACUACUACUACUACUACUUUGCAGCCGCCAUAGUUUCUCCUUCGCGCUUUGAAGGGGAGGGUGAAGUGACGGAGUUGCGAUCUGUAAUUACUAGAUGCCACUAAAUCCUACAAACUGGACAUUUUAAGAGUUAAAACUGGGACCAAAAGAGUCUGUUUGCAUCUUUCUAGCUUCUACACAUACACAACCUCUUUGAGUGUAAUUCAAAGAGCCUAUGAAUAUAUUUUGGUCGCUAACUAACCCUCAGCAGUUUUUAGCGCAACAAACCCGCAAACAAAACCUCAGUUGCACCCCUGCUCACUCGCUCCCAAGAGGCCUGACUCAGACUGUCCGUCUGAGCUCUGAGAAUGUGGAAGUGCAGACUCAACCAUCUCGACAGUAGGAGGGAGAGGUUUGUGUACCCACAAGGGCCUGCGCUGUAUUCCCACAACCAACAAGGAAUUUAAAAAUACCUCAGCAUUGCUGUUUCUCAUGCAAAGAGGGAAAGAACCAAGACAGAAGAUUGAUCUUUGACAGCCCGCUCUUUCUCUCAAUCUGUCUGUAUCCUUUCCUUUUUAACUUUUUCCUUCAUUGGCCUUUUUCUCGCAGCCUACUGUAAAUAAUCCUCUUUCUUUCUCACAUUGCCUCCUUUCCCUAAUCCCUUUCCUUCCCCUCUUCUGUCCUCCUGUCUGUCUGGCCAUCUCAUUUAAGUCGGUGACAUUUGAUGUGAAGUGGCGCAGGCCCGAGAGCUUACAGCCACUGACUCAUAAAAACACACAUGCGCAUGGAGGACUUGAUGUGGAGGGAAAGGUCAGGCCUACUCUCUGAGGGCCUAAUCACCCACUCUCAUUGAGUGGCUCGCUCACUCAGUCACCCUUGAUUGAGUGUGUGCGUGUGUGUGAGAAAUGUGAUCACGGGUGUGACUCGGUCGGUAUAUGUAGGCGGGCGAGCGAGCGGGUGUGAGAGGGAUGGAUUGCGCCUUGAGAGUAGUGAUUGGUGUGUGAAAGUGUGUUUAUCAGAAAAUGUCCGUUCCUGACUUGUGAACGUACGAUUAGCAGAUGACCGCUUUGGGUCAGGUGACACACACACAUACAAAUGUGCACACAAACACAUGCACAGUCCUCUUGCCCAAACAUGUGGUGUAAUCAGCAGUCUUAUCAGGGGAACUGUGGGGCUGUAACAGGCUCAUUAACUUCUCCCUGAGCCUUUUCUAGAGAGGGAAUUGGCCGAGACGAGUGGUCCACACUUCUCUCUACCCCCUCUUAAUACAGUCUAUUCUCUGCUCAUUUUUUGUGGUAAGUGAUUGCGCACGUGUGUGCAUGUAUGCAUGACGUUCCUCUUUACCUCAUGUUUCUGUGCUUAUUCCCUCAUUAGUGGACCUUCAGC